GUUGUUUUUAACCGAAGACGAUGUUCUCGGGGCGAAACUGCCAACACCAAAAGUAAAGGAUCAUGCCAACUUUGUUUUGGAACGAUGUGGUUAGCCUGUCAGUGGCGAGUUGGGGAGAAAAGAGCAGCAUUGAUAGCAAGGCUACCAAGUACAUACGGUAUCAACUCAUUUUUGUGGCAGUUGACCAUUACAUCAUGUGUGCAGAUGCAAAAACUGCGUAGAAGUUGGUAAAGCUGUAGAGAUUGAUGUGAGCAUAGAUCAGGG